GUGACACGCUUAUCACAUGUGUCAGGAUCUGACACAUCAUGCUACCUGGUGGGUUUGAGAAGUGGUUACAAAUUUGCAUAAAAAGAAAGAUUACAUGAAGUUAGGAUUAAAGAUAUGCCCUAUUCACCACAUUCAAAUUGGUAUCUGAACACCCUCUCAGACAGAUGCAUGGAAGUGGAAGUAGACACGACAACUUGAGCUAAAUGUUGACACUGCAGAAUUUGGGGCUGAUCAGGUAAGGCAUUUAGCUCCGAAUUUGCCUCAUGAGCAGCUAUGAAUCAGUUAAAAUUAUCUACAAGAGUCUCUGAACCCAGUAACAGUAUUCAAUACACAGGCUGAGAUUUUUGAACCUAACCUAUUUAUUCAUUUCUUCACAGAGAAAUGCUCCAGCAUGAUGGCAUGGUUUGCUUCUUAUUACCUCACAGUGUGGUAAGAAAUCUGACUGCCCAUUUCAU